UUACUGGGCGUCAGGACGCGUAGGCGGUUUGAUAAGUUAGAUGUGAAAUCCUAUGGCUUAACCAUAGAACUGCAUCUAAAACUGCCAAACUAGAGUGAGGGAGAGGUCAGUGGAAUUAGUGGUGUAGGGGUAAAAUCCGUAGAGAUCACUAGGAAUACUCAUAGCGAAGGCGACUGACUGGAACUUAACUGACGCUGAGGCGUGAAAGCGUGGGGAGCAAACAGGAUUAGAUACCCUGGUAGUCCACGCCCUAAACGAUGUACACUAGUUGUUGCGAUGCAAGUCAUCGCAGUAAUGCAGCUAACGCAUUAAGUGUACCGCCUGGGGAGUACGGUUGCAAGAUUAAAACUCAAAGGAAUAGACGGGGACCCGCACUAGUGGUGGAGCAUGUGGUUUAAUUCGAAGAUACGCGAAGAACCUUACCUAGGCUUGACAUCCUAUGAAUAAUUUAGAGAUAAGUUAGUGCUAGUUUACUAGAAAAUAGUGACAGGUGCUGCACGGCUGUCGUCAGCUCGUGUCGUGAGAUGUUGGGUUAAGUCCCGCAACGAGCGCAACCCUCGUCACUAGUUACUAACGGUUCGGCCGAGGACUCUAGUGAGACUGCCUUCGUAAGGAGGAGGAAGGUGAGGACGACGUCGAGUCAUCAUGGCCCUUACGGCUAGGGCAACACACGUGCUACAAUGGUUGGGACAGUGAGAAGCGAUACCGCGAGGUGGAGCAAAUCUAUAAACCCAAUCUCAGUUCGGAUUGUAGUCUGCAACUCGACUACAUGAAGCUGGAAUCACUAGUAAUCGUAGAUCAGCUAUGCUACGGUGAAUACGUUCCCGGGUCUUGUACUCACCGCCCGUCACACCAUGGGAGUUGAUUUCACCCGAGGCGGGGAAGCUAAACUGGCUACCCUCCACGGUGGAAUUAGCGACAGGGGCGAAGUCGUAACAAGGUAGCCG
rnacentral:rRNA from 1 species